CAACAACAAUGGAGACAUCAGAAGCAGCUGAGAAGCCAAAGAGGAACUUGCAGGUCGAGCGAGAGCAGAGAGAGCCCUUGAUAAUGCUCUUUCCAGGAGUUCCCUGCCUGGCGACCGAUGACGCUGCCUGGGCUCGGAGGCGGAUUGGACGCUCGCGGGGCGGAGAGGUGGAGUGGGCGGGGCCUGCAGGAGUUUCCCCCGGGGCUGAGCGGAGAAAGUCCCAUUUGGGGCGAAGAAGAGAGAAGGAUGGGGGGCUCCGGCGCUGCGCCUUUGGCCUUUGGGGGGCUCCUGCUGGGGAUGGGGGCGCUGGUGGUCUCUUCUUUGGAGGGGCUGGGCGUGGAGGCGCCUCCAGAGCAUUUCCUGUUCCAGGGGAAGGCCGAGUGCCACUUCUUCAACGGGACGCAGCGGAUCCGCUACCUAGAAAGGCACUUCUUCGACCGGCAGGAGCUCUGCUACUUCGACAGCGACCGAGGGAAGUUUGUGGCUGUGGCUGAACUGGCGGAGUCCCAAGCCAAGAUAUGGAACCAGGACAAGGCCUUCCUGCAGAGCAGGAAGGCCGCCGUGGAUUCCUUCUGCCGGUACAACUACGGGAUCUUGGAUACCUUCUCCCAGUCUCUGCGCGUCCAGCCCCAGGUGAAGAUCACCCCCACAGACAACGAUGAAUCUUCACCACACAACACUCUGCUGAUUUGCACCGUGAACCGCUUCUUCCCUGCGGGGAUCGAGAUCAAGUGGUUCAGGAACGGGAAGGAGGAGCCCAAAGUGUGGACCACGGACCUCAUCCGGAACGGGGACUGGACCUUCCAUAUUGAGGUGAUGCUGGAGACAAAGCCAGAACGUGGAGACGUCUACACCUGCCAGGUGGAGCACGCCAGCUUCGAAGGCCCCGUCACGGUGAAAUGGGAGCCACAGUCGGACUCUGCCAGGAGCAAGAUGUGGACGGGGAUUGUGGGGAUUGUGCUGGGGCUGGUCUUUGGGGCCACUGGACUCGCCCUUUACUUGAAGAACAAGAAAGGGCAAGCUGUUCCUCAGCCUGCAGGACUCAUCAGUUAGACUUCGCUGCUCCAUCAGGAUCCGGGGAUGUGGAUAAGCUCUGUUCUUCCUGCCAGUUGCCCUCUGUCCAUGCUCAGAGGGUGGAAACCUCCUUGGAAGGUGGAUGGAAGGAGUCACAGAUCAAGAACGACAGUGUCCACCCCUCCCCCACCUCUGUUGCUUGCUUGUCAUUUGGGGAAAGUUUCUUUUUCUGUUUCCCUUUCCGCUUGUUGAUUGCAAGUUAGCGCAACUUGAUUACUUCUUUGCACCUCUCUGCUAGAGAAUUUAUGCUUUGAAUCUCCCUGGAGGAGCCUGAGAAGUCCCUGAAAACAGCCAUGAAUCUUGUCAGACUGCCAGGACUGGUCCUUCAAGCCCUGGUGGGGACCCUGAUCCUUGAGAUUCCUCAUUGCAGGAGGUUGGGCUAGAUGACCUUGGGGUCCCCUCCAAUUCUACAAUUCCAUAAAAUGGUGAAUGGCCAAAUAUAUUUAUUGAAAGCUUCUCCCCACAGCCCUGUGACACGGAGGAUGAGUCCCGUUUUCGGAGAGAGUCCCUGCUUCCCACCCUCACCCUGCUGACUUAAUCUCCUCAGGGAGAGGAGUUUGUUAAUUUCUCUGUAAAUAUCCUGCUCUUUUGUGAUCUUAAGGAUCAGCCCUCUGACUGGGAUCCUCACCUGACCCACUUCAAGGCAGAAGCAGAUUUCACAGCCUUGAGAGUAUUUCCUCUGAGUCGCACCAGUGAAGAUUUUCUUCAGCUUC